UGUGGGGGGAGCCGUCGAAGGUGGGACCGGUGAUUGGGACUAAGUCGUAACAAGGUAGCCGUACCGGAAGGUGCGGCUGGAUCACCUCCUUUCUAAGGAGCA
rnacentral:rRNA from 1 species